rnacentral:misc_RNA from 1 species
UCAUCAUCAUCAUCAUCAUCAUCGGUUGUUUUUCAGAACUUGUUGCGGGAAGCUUGCAUCAAUGAUGAAGAAUUGUUCUCAGCCUUUCUGAAUCGCCUAUUUAAUACUCUUAGCUGGACAAUGACAGAGUUCUCUGUUUCUAUUCGGGAAAUGCAAGAAAAAUACCAGGUAUUGGAGUUUCAGCAAAGAAAAUGUUGUGUAAUAUUUGAUCUCUCAUGCAACCUUACAAGGCUUUUGGAGUUCUAUACCCGUGAGAUUCCUCAAGCGUUUCUAUCAGGAACUGAUACAAACCUCCGGAGGUUAACUGAAUUAAUUGUCUUCAUUCUUAACCGCAUAACUUCAGCUGCAGAUGCUGAGUUUUUUGACUUGUCACUUAGACGACAUGGUCAAUCGUUGGAAAAAGUAAAUCGAGGCAUGAUAUUAGCACCUCUUGUAGGGAUCAUUUUGAAUUUGUUGGAUGCAAGGGUGGCGACAGAAUGUGGAGGGCAAAAUGAUGUUGUGGAUGUUUUUGCUAGCAUGGACUGCCCCAGUACCAUGCAUUGUGGUUUCCAGUAUCUUUUGGAGUAUAACUGGGCUGGUUCCCUCAGAGGGGAUGCUAAUCUAGGAAAACUUGGGCAGCUAGAGAACUUCUUGAGCCUCCUUAUCAGCCGAAUCAAGGUGCAACAAAUUGAAAGGAUGGGAUGUGGAGGAGAAACAGAUGCUGAUGAUGGCAUCUGCUGCAUUUGUUAUACUUGCGACGCAGAUGCACAGUUUGCCCCUUGUUCCCAUAAGUCUUGCUAUGGCUGCAUAACAAGACAUCUUUUGAAUUGCCAUAGAUGUUUCUUUUGCAAUGCAACAGUGUUGGAGGUUUCUAAGAUUGGUGAAAAGAGAAUGUAAGAUCUAUGGUCUUGUAUUUUCUUGUUGCCUGGAAAGUCUCGCUGGCAUGGCAUGGUAUGUUGGCUGGUCAUUGAUUUGUCAGGGCUUUUGAAUACCAAUUUUCUGGUAUCCUGGACCGUCAUGGCAGCCGACAUAUUGUCUUCUCAGCGCUUGCGCGGCCUAGGUUUGUAAACCACUGGCACAGAAGCUGAAAAAGGAAGAAAAUUGGGUGAUAAUAUGAAAUUAUGAAUAUAUACGUAACUGCUUGUACCUAGGCAUUCACUUCUCAAGGUGAAAAAGUGGGUGGGAGUUGGGAAGAAAAUUCUCAUAGGUUGAUUAAGAAUUUUGUUGGGAAAUCGAGGGCAUUAUUCUGUAAAUAUGAGUUGUAAAUGGCAAUGAAAAUAUGUUGGUCUCUGUCUGUGUCUCUCAUUUGUUUAUUUUAUUUUUCUCAUUAUUCUUUAAUUUUAAGCAUAAGCACAAUGCUGUUCACUACAUUUCCUUAUUAAUU